UGAGGAAUAAACAAAUCCACUGCCAGACUGGGAAGUAAGGUGAAGCCCUGACAUACAAACCCUGGAAUAAAAUUGAACAGGACAUUGUUUUUAAUAAAGCAAACUUUCAAUGCUAGUAACAAAAAAAAAGUGAACUUUUCAUUUUAAAAUUUGUUCAAGCGAGAUGAAACUCAGUAAAUGAUACAACAUUUCUGGAUUGCAGUGGAAGUGAAGGAAAAAACUAGCAGAAUCCUGGCAACUCAACUCUGUGAGGCAGCAAUGAUGGAAAAUUGACAGCCUCAUUACUUACUUUCUCAUCAAAGGUGUGGAUCUAUGGAAGAUGGCCCUGUAUAGGACUGCCAUUCUGCCUUGGAAUCUACCUUCAGGCUAGAUUUUCCUUUAAAAGCUCUUCUCCCUUUGACAUACUUCCAUCUUAAAGAACCAUCUCCUAGACAACAUUGAUUUUAGAUCUGGCUACCUGGAAUCUUCAGAAGACAAGACAUGGAUUUAAGAAAGAUCUCACAUCAGUUAUGGUAGCCAUGUAAAAGGUAAAACUCACUGAAAGCAGAUAUGCUUUGAAAACAGGUUAUCAGUCACCCUCGUGAUGGAAAGUGCCCUUAGGCAUACAACACACAAUGGAAGUUAAAAUAAAAUGCAAUACUCUCUUACUCACCUAAACCUCCUAGAUUUUUUUUGUCUUUGAUAAAGUGCAUUGGUUGAACUGUGUAUCCAUGCUUUGGGCUGGCAUUUAGUAUAGUAGUUAGGCCAGAGCAUAGAACUCUUAACUUGUUUUGGGUUCAUGUCCCUGCUACAGACAAUUCUGUUGUACCCUGUAGCAUUGUAUUGAAGUGGUUCCAAUUCACCCA